rnacentral:rRNA from 1 species
AAAGAGGGAAGCAAUGCGAGACCUAAUACAAUGAUGAGAGACUUUCGUAAUUGUUUGGGAGAAUGCGGGUUGGAAGAUAUGGGAUGUAUUGGGGACCCCUUCACUUGGAGGAGGGGUGACAUUAGGGAGAGGCUUGACCGCGCGGUUUGUAAUGUGAAAUGGGCAAACAAGUUCCCUAGAUCUGCAGUUAUAAAUAAAGAACAUGUACAUUCUGAUCAUCGCCCUCUCAUU